rnacentral:rRNA from 1 species
UACGUAGGGGGCAAGCGUUGUCCGGAUUUAUUGGGCGUAAAGAGCGUGUAGGCGGCCUGAAAGGUCAGCUGUGAAAACUCGAGGCUCAACCUCGAGACGUCGGUUGAAACCAUCUGGCUAGAGUCCGGAAGAGGAGUGUGGAAUUCCCGGUGUAGCGGUGAAAUGCGCAGAUAUCGGGAAGAACACCCGUGGCGAAGGCGGCACUC